rnacentral:rRNA from 1 species
CACGUAGGGUGCGAGCGUUGUCCGGAAUUAUUGGGCGUAAAGAGCUCGUAGGCGGUGUGUCGCGUCGGCCGUGAAAACCUGCAGCUUAACUGUGGGCUUGCGGUCGAUACGGGCAUCACUGGAGUUCGGCAGGGGAGACUGGAAUUCCUGGUGUAGCGGUGAAAUGCGCAGAUAUCGGGAGGAACACCAGUGGCGAAGGCGGCUUUCUGGGCCUUACCUGACGCUGAGACGCGAAAGCGUGGGGAGCGAACCGG